rnacentral:rRNA from 1 species
GACGAACGCUGGCGGCGUGCUUAACACAUGCAAGUCGAACGGAAAGGCCUUUUCGGCGGUACUCGAGUGGCGAACGGGUGAGUAACACGUGGGUGAUCUGCCCUGCACUCUGGGAUAAGCCUGGGAAACUGGGUCUAAUACCGGAUAGGACCGCACUUUAGUGUGUGUGGUGGAAAGUUGUUUCGGUGUAGGAUGAGCCCGCGGCCUAUCAGCUUGUUGGUGGGGUAAUGGCCUACCAAGGCGGCGACGGGUAGCCGGACUGAGAGGUUGGUCGGCCACAUUGGGACUGAGAUACGGCCCAGACUCCGACGGGAGGCAGCAGUGGGGAAUAUUGCACAAUGGGCGCAAGCCUGAUGCAGCGACGCCGCGGGGGGGAUGACGGCCUUCGGGUUGUAAACUCCUUUCGCCAGGGACGAAGCGUUUUGUGACGGUACCUGGAGAAGAAGCACCGGCUAACUACGUG